rnacentral:rRNA from 1 species
UACAGAGGGUGCAAGCGUUGUUCGGAAUUAUUGGGCGUAAAGGGCGCGUAGGCGGUGCGGUAAGUCUGUCGUGAAAUCUCUGGGCUCAACUCAGAGUCUGCUGCAGAAACUGCCGUGCUUGAGUGUGGGAGAGGUGAGUGGAAUUCCCGGUGUAGCGGUGAAAUGCGUAGGUAUCGGGAGGAACACCUGUGGCGAAAGCGGCUCACUGGACCACAACUGACGCUGAGGCGCGAAAGCUAGGGGAGCAAACAGG